UACGUAGGGUGCGAGCGUUAAUCGGAAUUACUGGGCGUAAAGGGCGCGUAGGCGGCCUUCUAAGUCGAACGUGAAAUCCCCGGGCUCAACCCGGGAACUGCGUCCGAUACUGGAAGGCUUGAAUCCGGGAGAGGGAUGCGGAAUUCCAGGUGUAGCGGUGAAAUGCGUAGAUAUCUGGAGGAACACCGGUGGCGAAGGCGGCUUUCUGGUCUGCUCUUGACGCUGAGGCGCGAAAGCUAGGGUAGCAAACGGG
rnacentral:rRNA from 1 species